rnacentral:lncRNA from 1 species
GAGAAAUUACAUUUUGCAGGAAACACUUGUUCAAGAUUAUCGUGUCUUAUUUAUUGGAAGCACAUAUCUAAAACCUGUAAGCAACUCCAAGUAAAAGUUAAAUAAUAACGAUUAAGUAUUUGAUAGAUUAAUAAAACUUAUUAGGCUAAAUUUUACUUUAAGGGAAGUGUUGGUGUUACAGUUACGAUUGCACAAAUAUAAAAAAAAUUAGUUUGGUCAGGAGCCACGAUAUCAUAAUAAAUUAAUAGAACAAAAAGAUCUAAAUUUAUCACACUUGGGUUGAAAUCAAUGAUGUCAAUUUUGAAGAAUUCACAUUGAUGUCACCGAGGUUGAACAUUUUGAUGUAUUAUUUUCAGAGAAAUCAAUAAUUCUUCCUGAAUUGAAAAUAUAUAUAAAACCAACACUAAAAUAGUUUAUACCUAUAAAAAUAAAAUGUUUGUAACAAAAGUGUUUGAAAUCCAUUUCAUUUGUUUUUUCUUCAAAUUUGUCAUGAUUCUCUGAAUAAGUGACAAUUCAUAUUUAGGAAAAAUAUCAUAUUCACUUUGAUCAUUUUUUUUUUUACAAGUUUGGCAAUCAUCUCAUCAACCAGUUUGGGGGAUAUGUUACCAUUGCUGAAAUUUUCAAAACAGAUUUGAUAGAGAAUCUAAACAGUACAAGUAUUCCCCUUGAAAAUGCAUAACAACCAUAAAUAUAUAACAAAAUUACAUAUAACUAAUACUGACUAAAAACAGAGAUCGCCUAGAGUAGAUAAGUACAUGUUUUUACAAAAAGAUACACGAAAGUCCACAUUACAAUACACAUUUACACACAUAAAAACUUACAUGUAAGAAUUACACAGAAAUUCUACUUUUGUAUUCAUAUAAUGUUUACCUUAUGAAAAUAAGGAAAAUUUGGCAGGAAUGCCAAUGAGACAACUAUCUACCAGAUUUCAAAUGACGAAGAUAUAGGCAAAUUGUGCACAAUCAAAAAUGUGUAAAACAUUUAACAUUGAAAUAUUUAUAAAUGGAAUGUUUAUUAAAUGUGCAUUCUAAAAGGAAAAGAGUUGAGGUUGGAAACAUUUGCUGUAUAUUUAUGUAGUUUGUUAACUGAUGAUGAACAUACCCUUUUAAAAUAUACAGGGUUCAAAAAUACCAUUGAAAUUCCAUUGUUUCAUUACAGAUCAAUCUGUGGUUGUAUUGUAUGCCACUUACAUGCACUCCCUCAGUAAAACUGACAUAAUUAUUUUUUUCCAAAAAACACUGGCUAAUGAUUUUUUGAAUUAGCUGACAGGUGUUUUAUGGAGCUUGAUAAGCAUACAUCAAGUCAAGAGACAAAAAAACUCAUUCAAAUCCAGACACAAAUACAUGUGGUCAAAAGUAUUAC